UUUUUCGGAGAGUUUGAUCAUGGCUCAGGACGAACGCUGGCGGCGUGCCUAAAACAUGCAAGUCGAACGGACCUUCGGGUCAGUGGCGAACGGCGGAGUAAUACAUGAGUAACGUGCCCUUCAGACGGGGAUAUACAGUCGAAAGACUGGGCAAUACCGGAUGAGAUGGCGAGGAGGCAUCUCCUUGUCAUGAAAUGGUUUUUCGCUGAAGGAGCGGCUCAUGACACAUCAGAUAGUUGGUGGGGUAACGGCCUACCAAGUCUACGACGUGUAGGGGGUCUGAGAGGAUGAUCCCCCCGAGUGGGACUGAGACACGGCCCACACACCUACGGGUGGCAGCAGUUGGGAAUCUUGCGCAAUGGGGGAAACCCUGACGCAGCGACACCGCGUGGAGGAUGAAGG
rnacentral:rRNA from 1 species